AAAUUCGCGGCAGGGAAACACCCCGCUCAAAAAUCCAUGGAAAACAUCCGGUCGCUGCUCUCAUUCCCGCACAAACCCACCACAAACCUCACAAAAGAAGCACACCUCCCCGCCACGUCACCGAUCCGCGCCACCCCUCCCCGCCAUCUCGCCCAUCCAACGGCUGACACCCUUCAUCACGCGGAUCGCCCUCUCUCCCCUCCCACAAACCCCGCAGCUAUAAAUUGCCGCCUCGCCACACGCUCCACCGCACCAAGCCACCUCAUCCCUCCACCAACCACGAGUCAAACCCACCGCAGCAAAGGGACAGCGGCGGAGAUGUCGGGCCGUGGCAAGGGAGGAAAGGGGCUCGGAAAGGGCGGCGCCAAGCGCCACCGGAAGGUGCUGCGCGACAACAUCCAGGGCAUCACCAAGCCGGCCAUCCGUCGCCUGGCGCGCCGCGGCGGCGUGAAGCGCAUCUCGGGGCUCAUCUACGAGGAGACCCGCGGCGUGCUCAAGAUCUUCCUCGAGAACGUCAUCCGCGACGCCGUCACCUACACCGAGCACGCCCGCCGCAAGACCGUCACCGCCAUGGACGUCGUCUACGCGCUCAAGCGCCAGGGCCGCACCCUCUACGGUUUCGGCGGUUAGGCCCGCCAGAUCCGUCGCCCGCGGAAACCAGAUUAGGAGCUAGCCUCUGUUUAGGAUUCAUGUU
rnacentral:lncRNA from 1 species